rnacentral:lncRNA from 1 species
UUUGCUUAUAUUUUUAAUUAAAUUUAUUUCUAAAAAAAUAAAUAAAAUAAAUUGCAUGGUAUUUUUCUCUUAAAAAAAUUAACCACAAUUUAAAAUUUCUCGAGGUACUGGAGUGGUCGAUGGUACCGUACCAUUUAGAGAUGUCAACGGGUCGGAUUCGAGGCGAAUUUUUAAAAACCUGAACCCGAAUCUGACUCCAAACCCGAGACCCGAACCUGAACCGGAACCCGAAGCCAAACCAGACGGAUUUUAAAAAUCCAUAUCCCAAUCCGAACCUGACUAAAAAUCUAAAACCCGAACCCAAACCCGAAAAUCUGAACCCAAACCAAUUAUUAUUUUUUCAAUAUUUCAAAAUAUAUUAUAUUAUAUGUAAAUUUUUAAAAUACAAAUUCAAAUAUAACAUCAAAUUUAUAUAUAUAUAUAUAAUACAAAAUAAAUUCGGGUUCAGAUUCGGGUCGGUACAGUCAAAUACAUAUCCGUCGGAUUUUUAUUUUUGAUAUCCAUAUCCGAAUCCAUAUCCAUUUAGCAUCGGAUAUAUCCGUUUUAUUCGAGUUCAGGUUCGGAUAAAAUUUCGAACAUCCAUACCCAUUGACAUCCCUAGCAAUGAGCGGAUCCCGUCUACUCGGACUUUGUGCUGGUGAGAGGGAGAAACUGUUGUGUGCACCGGGUGCACCACAUUUGUUGAAUAAGUUAUUAGUUUAAAUUAUAAAAGAGUAUAAUUUUGGAGUAAUAUGAAGAGAGNAAACAAAUCCCCAACGUGAUUUACUCCACCACCUCCCCUGUAUAUAUAGCAAACCCUCAAUUCCCCCUCCCACCACCACCACCACCGCCCAAAUCCCCUUCAGAAGCGGCGAUAAAGCGGGGGAAGAGGUACAGAAAAGGAGAAUUGAGGCUCCGACGACGCCCUACCCCCUUCUUCUCCCCGCAAGAUCCCCUUUUUAGCUCUCCAGAGGCUCCGAUCCGAUAGAAUUCGGUAGUUUUCGAGGUAAUUUGGUACGGAUUUGAGCCUAAUGUCCUCCGCCGCCGCCGGAGCCGCGGGUGCUGGUGUUUUCCGGCGAGGAGUGGCGGCGCUGGGCCCCCUCGCGCGGCUCCCCUGGGCGGCGGCGUCUUCUCCCUCGGCGAUCGGGAUCGGGGCCUCGGUGUCGGUUCGGGGCGUCUCGCAGCUCGUUAAGACCAACGGAAAGAGGGUGUUCCUGGUCGACACAUUGGCGUUGGUAAUGUUGGAAAUUUUCCUCCUUUUGAUCCUGUCGUCAUGGAACUGGGCGGCUACGGAGGAUGCACUCAAGGUGUUUGUGUUUUUGCGUCUUUGGCAGGUUAGGAGGUUGGAGUCGCAAGGGGUGCCGACGAAGCAGGCGGAGGCGAUCACGACCGCCAUUACGGAGGUUCUGAAUGAUAGCUUGGAGAACGUGGCGCAAUCCUUUGUGUCGAAGGGGGAGAUGCAGAAGGUAUUGGUGAUGGUGGUGCUUAUGCUUGUAAAUUGCUUGCUUCUUUGUCAUCCUUUUAUAAUUUGUUAUUUCAUGCAAUUUACGGCAUGCGCAGAGCGAGAUGCUGCAGGAUUCCAAUAUCUCGAAAUUCAAGUCGCAAGUACAAAGCUCUCAGGUAUUUAGCCUCAUAACACGGAAACUCAUAAUUUGUUAUCAUCUAAAUCUAUACAGUAAUGAUGCUCGACAUUAGUCUAACAUAUGUGUCUUUAUUGGUUUACGGACGGAUGUUUAUAUCAGUGUGACAUGUUACCGUCUCGUUCUAUGUGGUCACCACUAGAUUGCAUCACAAACUUCAUUAACUAGGUAGUGACAUCCAAAUUGAAUUCUUAAAGAAUUUCUCUGUUGUUUAUCAGAUCCCCUGGUAUUAAAUCGAAGAAUAGGCUUUUUCUGUUCAGUUUUGACCCUGAGUUUAGAUGAUAGUACUGAAUGGCAAUAUAAAAUGGUUUCUUGUUGCGUUGCUAAACUUUUUGAAGGUCCACAAUCCAUCAAGAGGAUAAUGCAAAAUCUAAUUGACAAACAUUGGAUUAAAACUAACAAGCAUGAAGUUCUUCAAUAUUUGUUUUGUUUUUUAGAACAAGCAUCUCAUUUGGGCAUAACUCUGCUUUACCUUUCUGAACAAACAUGUCUCCCCACAAAAUCACACCGAGUACUUAUCCAUGAGAUACUAGAGUGGAUCUGCAUAUGGCUAAAAACAAAGUAUAAAUAGGAGAAAACAGUUAUACAUUUAUGUAACAAAUCCAUGUACUUAGACCGAUCUCUCCAGGUUGAGAAAAGAUCUGACCAUUUCCUUCAUAUAUGACAAAAUGCUACAACAAAACUAAAUAGGUUAAUACAUGAAUAGAAGACAUCAGAUCUUACUAUUUGUGUUUUUCAGCUCUGUAAGGAUAUGCUUGAUUCUAUUAGCCUUCGUAUGUUCUAUCAGUGUUUCUAGUGUGGCUUUUCUUUUUCUUUUUUUUUUCCUUUCAUUUUUUGAUAUCUUUUUUAUUGUCCUUUAAUGUACGCUAGUCUUGCAAAUAUGAAGUUAGGAACGCUUGUUUUGUUAUCUAUUUGAUAGGAUCAUAGGAUUAUUGGUGGCAUGAGUUUUAUUGUCUAAACCUAGUUCUCUAUCAAGUUUCCUUACAAGAAACUAAAAGCAUUAUAAAUAUGAAACUAGGAAUGCUUGGUUUAUUAUCAAUUUGAUAAGAUUAUUGGUUACAUGAAUUUUAUUAUCUAAACCUAGUUAUCCAUCAAGUCCUUAAAAGAAACUAUAAUCCUAGAACUGUUGAGGGAGCCAAUAUUUGCUAUUUUAUGCAUCGUCAAUUCUUAACUUUUGCGAGUUUUAUUAUCUAAACCUAGUUAUCCAUCAAGUUUCCUUAAAAGAAACUAUAAUCCUAGAACUGUUGAGUGAGCCAAUAUUUGCUAUUUUAUGCAUCGUCAAUUCUUAACUUUUGCGUGUUUCUUUAUAUAUAAAAUCUUUGACUUAAGUUUACCUCAACUGGAUGUAGGAAAACCAUUUCUCUUCAAUACAACGUGAGACUGAGAAACUCCGGGGGGAUAUUGAGAAAAUGCGCAGCGAGCUUAGGUUGGUAGUGCAAUUUCAUUAGAAGUUUUUUAUUGCAUUCUUUUUUGGAGUCAAUGACUCGGCACUUCUAAUUUAUAGCUUCUAUCCUGAAACAGAUAUGAGAUUGACAAAGUCACUGCCGGGCAGCGGUUGGAUCUAAAUCUUGAAAGAGGGUAAGGCAAUUGCAUCAACAGAUUUCGUGCAUCUCCCAAGUCUUGGUUAUUUACUUCACUACAACGUUUUUUCUUGUUUGGAUAUGAGAAAAUGAAUAUGUUGAUGAUGAAUGGAUUGCCAUGCUACAGGAUGUUAAAAGGAAUUUUGCGGGUGAAUUUGCUUUUAUUUUGAGGCCAGAAUAGCCUAUCUUGACUAGGCAUUUUCACUGAGCUUAAUUUGACAAAGUCCUAUUUUCAGUCCGGCUCUCACUUGUUUUUAUUCAGCUACCUGGUUAGAUAGAAUCUAAGCAAGGGAUGGGAUUAAGUAAUCUAAUUUGAAUGGGAUAGAUUUACUUGUAAUUAUGUUCUCGUUAUUCAAGAUUUAAUCUAAUUUGGACGACCUGCUUUUGAUUACUUGUAUCAAGUUUUGUUUUAUAGUUUUGGCUAAACUACAGAAACCCCCCCGUCAAAACUCGCUUUUUCACUUUUCCUCUCCGACUUUUAAAUAAAAUCUACAUUUUACCCCCUUAAAAUUUGAGAAAUGUUCACAAGGGCGGUUACGGUGUUAACUGUGAUGACAAAAUGAAAUUGUCCUCUUCCGCUUCGUCUCCUCCCUAACCCUCCUUCAUCCACAACCCCUCCGUCCUCCGUGCCUCCCUUGACCCCAGCUCCGACUUCACUUGCUCCACCUGCUCCCCUUUGCUUCUUCUGCACCCUGCCGCCUCUCCAUUCGGCGAUGAUAGGGAGAAAGUUGGGGUGGAUGGAGGGGUGGGCGAGGUGAGGCAGCGGAGGACGGCGAGGGUGUGGGUGUGGGUAGGGAACUUGAGUUUGCCGCGGAGGGAGGGGAGGAGCGAGGCAACGUGGCCGAGGACGUCCGCGGGAGGGAGGUGGCGCGGUUGAGAGGAGGGGUCUAAGGGUAUUUUGGAUAUUAAAAAAAUAAUAAUAAUAGGAUAUAGAUGAAACCCUGAUAGAACACUGACGGCGGAGCCAAAGUGAACAUUUCUUAAUUUUUGAGUGCGUAAAAUGUAGGUUUCUAAAAGUCGGGGAGAGAAAGCGAAAAAGUAGGUAUUGACGGGAGUUUUCUAGAAUUUAGCCUAUAAUUUUUUAUUUUGUUUGCGUCAAGGUUAAAUUCAUAUUGGUUUCAAUUCUGAGCACAACUAUUCUGAAAAUCAAGAAAGGGAAGGAAUAUAUAGAGAAUGGAAAACUCAUGAAAUGUAUUUUGAAAAGACAUCUUGAUAACUAAGGAAAUUUUUGGAUCGCAUCAAAUGAUAGAUGAUGUAUAUGUACCACUGAUUUCUGUUCCAAUUCAUGAAUGCAGGCGAAUACGGGACGAACUAGCCAAACAAAAUGCAGAAACUACAGAUCUCACCACCAAGCUUGACCGGGUGAGCCCUAAGUAGAUUGAGGGGAAAAAAAAAAAAAAAAAAAAAAAAUAGAAACAUGGAACUAUUAUGAUUUUAAAGUUGGUUUGUAACACUGAUUUCCUGUACUGUGACAUUGUCUUUUAUAGGAAAUCCACUCGUUGAAAGCCCAGUUGGAGGGUGCCAAGUACGAUGUCAUAAAAUACUGCAUUGGUACGCUUGUGUCGAUAUCAGCUGUUGGGCUUGCUAUCCUUCGCAUUCUGAAGUAACAAACAUCCCUUAUUGUCGGCAAUUUAAUGAAUCGACAAGAAGUUAUGUUUUUUUUUUUCUUUGCUUUUUUGUUUGUUCAAGAAAUUCAUUGGCAAGUUGUUGUAGCAUUGAGUAGAAAUAUCUUGCCAUUUAAACACAGUAGCUCAAAGAUGUAGAUUUAGUUCUCAUGCAAAUAUUUGAGACAGUUUACCUAUUGGAUUCAGAAUACUCAAUAAGACACUGACAUUUUAUGCUUGGCCCAUUGGAGACAUCUCAAUAUUGAUAAUCAGUAUCUGAAAUGUUAGUUUCUUAAUCUUGAAGAUGUUUAAUAAGUUGAUUAGUUCUAUUAAUAAACUCUGGGUGGUGGUUCACUCAAUACCUAGUUUAGCAUUCUUGUUGUCUUGUUGUUUUUCAUUUCUACUCUAUUCUUAACGUGUGGAUGCGCGCGCAGGAAACAUGUUUGCGAAGUCAGUCUUCUGCGAGUGCGCAAUUGAUCAAUUGCUUGCAUUAGGGGCUAAGAGUCUUUUUGGGUCCUACCUUUUAGUAAUGCAUGGUCCGCUUCUGCGUGAGUUGGUCAGUUUUGUCGAGCAGAGCACUGGUUCAGAGUCUUUUUGAAGUGCAAUUGAUCAGUUGCUUGCAUUAGGGACCAAGAGUCUGUUUGGUCCUGCUUCUGCUUCUGCUUCUGCAUGACUUGCCAAGUAUUGUCAAGCGGAGCGCUGAUUCGCUGUUUGUGUGAAGUGAUUACAAACAAUGCGAAUGAUAGAAAGAAAACCAAACACUGCCUUUGUCUUUGUUGCACACAGAUAAGUGGAACCAAUAUGACUCUUAGGAUAUGUUUGGUUCAUGAUUGAAAUAAAAAAAAAAAGUUAAAUUACAGAAAAUUCUCCCAUCAAAAUCUGAUUUUUUACUUUUCCCUUCUGUCAUUUAAAAAUCUAUAUGUUGCAUUUUAGGUACGGUGCUAAUAAUAUUGAUAAAAUAAUCAAAAUGCCCUCUUCCUUUUCCUCUCUCCUCCUAACCCUUCUUUAUCUGUAAAAGGGUAUUUUUGAUAUAAAAAAUAAUAAUAAUAAUAAUUGGAUAUAGACGGAACUCUAACGGAAUAUUGACGGCAGGAUCCAAAGUGAAUACUUUUCACUUUUUAGGAGGGCAAAGUAUAGGUUUUUUAAAUGAUAGGGAGAGAAAGUGAAAAAUCGGAUUUUGAUUGGAAGAUUUUCUAUAAUUUAGCCAAAAAAAAAAAGGAAUUGAUGAAUAAUCCAAAAUUAUUUAUUGUGCUAGUUUGUCUUAAUAUUAUAGUUUUUUUUUAGCUGCAGUUAUAUCUAGUAGAGAGUUUGAGAAAUACAAGAGUUCUAGCUUUUCUUGUGAUUCAAAAGAAAAUAGUUAGUGAUCAAAUGACACUAAAUUUAUAGCGAGGAGAAAUAACCUCUUUUGGGUGUAUGUUUGGCGUUCUUUUGCGUAAAAAACAAUUUUUAGGACAUGGAAAAAGACAUUUUUUGUUAUUAUAGUUAGUAAUUUAAUUAUGGGUUAAUUGCAAUUAGGUCCCCGCAAACAUAGUGAAUUACAAAUUUAUCCUUGUAAAAUUUAACUUUCAUAAAUUACUAGUAUAGAACCCGCGCUUCGCUGCGGUUAACAUUUAUAUGCUCUGAAUAAUUUAAAAUUUUUUUAAAAUUUCACCACGACCCCUGCAAAAGUUAUUUUUUUAAAAUUUUUUAAAUUUGUUUUUUUAGGGUAUAUGAGAUGUUCACAGUAAUCACUCUAAGAUUCCUCAACAGCGAGAUGAGGUUGAGGCAAAGCGACCCCCGCUGAUGCUCAAAUGCUAAGAUACCUCGAUGUAUUAUGUUUUUAAUUUUUUUAAUUUAUUUGUUUUAAUUGUAGAGAAUGGGUUUAGGGACGAUCGGAGGGGGGUUAGAGUUUGGGGAGUGAGCGGGCUUGCGGGAUCGCGAUCGGCGGCUAGGGCUCCGGCGAUCCACGGGGGCGGCGUCGUCGGCGGUCGCAGGGGUGGCGUCGUCUGCGACCGCGGGGGCGGGAUCGGGAAAGGGGGGCCACGGCCGUCGUGGGGAUCUCCGCCGGUGGCAAAGGAGGGACGAAGGGCCGAGAGAGAGGGCGCCCCAGGCGAGGAGGGAGGCGGGGGCGGAGUGGGAGUAGCGGAGGAGCGCGGCGGCGGAGAGGAGGUUAAUGCCCCUCCCCCCCUUCCUCUCCUCCUUCUCCUCCUCCGCCGCCGCCGCCUCCACCCUCUUCGUCGAGCCCAAGCUCCGGCCCCUUCCCUUCUCCCCCCUUCCCGCCUCGCCCAGCCUCGCCUACCUCAUCUCCGGCUUUUCCGGCGACGGCGGUGCGCUCCUCCGCGCCCUCCUCACUCUCUACCACCCCCGCAACCGCUACGUCGUCCACCUCGACCUCGACUCCCCCGCCGCCGAGCGCGACGCGCUCCGCGACAGCCUCACGCGCCACCCGGUCCUCGCCGGCCGCCGCAACGUCAAGAUGAUCUUCAAGGCCAACCUCGUCACCUACCGCGGCCCCACCAUGGUCGCCAACACCCUCCACGCUGCAGCCAUGUUGCUCCGCGACACCCCCGAUUGGGACUGGUUCAUCAAUCUCAGCGUCAUUUUAGGCUAAGAUAGAGAGGAGAGAUGGGAGGGAGAGAGAGAGAGAGAGAAAGAGGGGGCCCCACCUUAAGAGAGGAAGAGAGAGAGAGAGAGAAUAGGGAGGGGUUAUCUGUAAAGGCAAAGAGAGUGCUAGUUGGCAAUAUCUUGGUCCAAGUCCAACCUUAGGAAGGAGCCAGGAAUAUCCAAGAAUAUCUUGGAAAUAGAAAAAAAAUUUUUGGGGAAGGAGUUAAGGAGUAUCUUACCUUCCCAAGACAUUUUGGUAUGAGUGGGAGGAGAGAGAAGAAAAGAAGAUAUGAAAGGAGAAGAGAAGAAAGGAGCAGAUUUAGAGAGAGAAAAAGUGAGAAAAAGGAUGUAUGACUUGGAAGCGUUAAAAAAUGCCACGUACAUCUUUUGAGACUGUCAAAUUAUAUAUUUGUAGUAGAUUCCUGCAAAACUCUUAAUAUUUUCAUAUAUGUUCUUAUGAUUUGUUAUCAUUAGAGAACUGUUAGAAAUUUGUUUAUAUUUUUAAUUUUGCCACCGCAAAUAUGUCCCUCCAAAAAUUUUAAUAGUAUAAUAUAAGAGGAGUAAAAAUAUAAAAAAUUAAUUAGGGUAAAGUAUUUAACCUAUGGUUAAAUAAAUUUUUUUAAUAAAUUCUAACGGCAGGGACAUAUCUGAAAAUAUUAGGACUUUUGCGGGAAUAACUUAUGAAAGUUGAACUUCACAAGAAUAUAUUUGUAAUUUACUAUAUUUGCGGGGACCUGUAUGCAAUUAAUCCUUUAAUUAUUGAUAACAACCUGUGUAAAAAAUUUUGGAAGCCAAAAAAAAAGGCCUCGUUUGGCAUUGUUUUCACUUUUUCAUUUUUUAAACAUUAAUUUCAUAUAAUUUGAUAUGUUGAAAAGAAAAUUUUCUUUUGUUGAUAUAGUUGGUUAGCUUAUAAUGCAUCCGGUAAAGUGGUAGAUAAUAAUUUAUUCAAAAAAUUUUGAAAGUAAAAAAUUUUUUUUUUUAUCAUAUUUUUAUUUUUUUAUGUUAAGUAAUUCACUGUUAAUUCCCUCCUACACCUUGGAAUAUUCAAAAAUUCUAUUUGAAAAAAUAAAAAACAAACAUGAUACCAAACCACGCUUUAAUUUACAGCUUUUGUUUUCACCAUGGAAAAGAAAUUAUAAAAAAAUUUAAUAUAAUAAUUAUCUUAAUAAUUCUCCUAAAUAAGAUUUUAUAAAAGAGUUUAUCGAACAACAUAACACUCUGCAACAAAAUUACUCAUACUUUAAAAUCUCAUAGUGUUGGGUAAAAAAACUGUACGAUCAACACGUAUGGGAGGGUCGAUUUCUGAACCAAAUAUUCUGCACCGGUAAAAAAUGAGCGUCUGCAUCAUACCCAUCCUACGUACUCAGUAACCCCACGAUGAAAUCCAUGAUAAUCAUCUACUUACUUGAAAGUCAAAAUUAAUGUUUUUAUUUCUUAGACCCUAAAAUUAUAUUUUUAUGAAUUUUGCAAUAUCAAACAGAUCCUUAGGCUAAAAUGGCCCUCAUCAUGUGCUUAGUCCCAAUUAAAGGUGUAAUCGGUUCAGGUUGGUUCGGUUUUAGGCAAAGCUCAAACCGAUCUGAAUUUUUCGGCUUGAAAAAAAAUUUGCAAUCGAACCGAACCGAUUUAUGCUCGGAACCAAUUCAAACCAGACCAAAUUAAUCGGUUUAGUUUGGUUUUGCAAUUAAUUUUCGGAUGUUUUAUUUUUCUGUGAAUUAAUUUAUGAUUUAAGAUUCAAAAUUAGUACAUUAUGAAAUCACACACAAAAAACUUAAUUAUAAACAUAGAAUUUUUCAAAAUGUAUUGAUAUCUGAUCAAGAUUUGAUCAUAAAUAUAAAAUGUGAAUAAACAGUUUAGAUAAAAAGUGUAAAAAAAAUUAUUAUUUGGCUUUCGGUUUGGUUCGCUUAAGAAGUGUGUUUAAAUUGAACCGAAAUUGAAAAUUAAAUUUCAGCAAAUUUAAAAAUUGAACCAAACCGAACCAAAAAUCAUAUAAAUAGAGCCAAAAAAUCUUAUUUGGUUUGGUUCCUUUUGGUUUUCAAUUUGGACCGAAUCUUGUACACUCCUAGUCCCAGCUAGACCUGACAAAUAGGUAGAUUGGGCAAUCCGUAGGCAGAUCAUCAUACCAGCAUAUUAUUUGGGCUUAAAUAGAAUUUGUUUCUAAAUUUUUCGAUAGUUAACACCCUUAUCCAUACUCAUCUGUGAGUGGGCGGGUAUAGUAUGCGGAUUUCCCGCAAGAUUUUUUUUAUUUUUAUAUUUUCAAACACAAAAUACAUAUAUAAGUUUUAAAAGACUACAAUACUAAAGGUGUCUGUGAACUGAGUUGGAUCUCGUUAGUUAAUAUAUUAUACCAGUACAUUAAAAAGAAAUGUGUAAGGAAAAAAAACUGCUUUACUUAUUUAAUUUCUGAGUCGGGCCCGGGUCUGGGUAUUUAAGUUAUCAAUAUAUUCGCCGGUUCUAUUUGAGCAUGUUUAGGUAGUAACUAUCCGUAUAGUACCCGCUUAAGACUAGAUAUGGGUUAGGUUUAGGUUGGGUAUCAAUAUCCGUAUGCAUAUAUUUUUUAUAAACUAUUAAAUAGUUUAUGGACAAAUCAUACAUUUUUCACGAUCUAAUAAGGUGCACCUAGUCAGCGGGAUCGGAGAGGCAAAGAGAGCGGCUGUGGUUUGAUUUCUUCUUCUGCUUCUUCUUUUUCUUCUUCUUUUUUUUUACUCAUUUUCUUAACUCCAACAGUAAACAUCGACCCUGUCUAGAGAGAAAGAUUCAAUCGGGCGGCUAGGGUUAAAAAAGUGAGUUAAAAAAAUUAAAAAAAGAAAGAAGUAAACAUAGCUGCUAGAUUUCAGAUGAAAAUACACAAAGACCCCUCACUUAUAAGUUCUAGUGAAAUUGAUCCCUCAAUAUCAAAUCUUUGUAUUUACUGUUGAUAUUCCAUCGAGUCCGGGUUUGGGUCCGAAUCUGGAUUUUGGUCCGGAUUUGGAAACUAUUUUGAACCCUACCUAUUAAAAAAUCUGGUUCUAGAUCAAGUUGGAUAUGAAUAUAAAGUAUUUGAAUCCAUACCUGAAAUUUUUAUUAUUUUUUUUACCCGUACUAUACAUUUUUUAUUGGGUUCGGAUACGGUCCAGAUUGGAAAUGAAAUAUCAGGUAUUUUGGAUAGCUCUACAUAACAUAAUCUAUUGAUUAAAAUAUCAUGAUAUACAGUAAAUAAUAUAGUCUUAAAACAAUACCAAGAAAAAAAAUUAAGAUUAAAAUUUUACAGAUAGAUAAAAUAAAAUAAGUAUUUAUUUAUUUUAUUAAAAAUAUAUAUAUAUUGGUGUACACAAAUAGUCUAAAUAUUUAUAAUUUAACGAAUACCUAUUUGUUUUAAUGAUAACUUCACAUACCACCUCGGUACUUUCACACUUUCUCACUUUAGUAUCUUAUGAUUUAAAGUAUAUCAAUUUAGUGUCCGGUGGUUUUUUUUUUUUUUUUAUUAUCUAUUUUACUUAUUUUUUUCAUUAAAUCAGUAACAAAGUUAAAAUUAAAGGGUACAAAAGUAAAUAUUUGAUAAACUUAGAUGGGUAUCUAAAGUUUUUUUAUAUAUAAUUUAACGAAAUAUUAACGAAAAAAUUGAUAAAAAGAUAAAAAUGAAAUCACAGGAUACUAUCUUAAUACACUUUAAACUACAAAAUACUAAAGUGUGAAACUACAAGAGUGGUAUUUGAAAUUUGGGAAAACUUUAAAUACCUCCCUGUGGUUUCGCACUUUCUCACUUUAGUACCCUGUGGUUUAAAGUGUAUCAAGUUAGUACCCUGUGGUUUCGCACUUUCUCACUUUAGUACACUGUGGUUUCAAGUGUAUCAAAGUUAGUAUCCUGUAGUUUUAUUUUUGUAUCAAGUUAGUACCAUGUGGUUUCAAUUUUUCCUUUCUAUUAUCCAUUUCGGGUAUAUAAUUUAACGAAAUAUUAAACCACAAAAUACUAAAGUGAGAAAGUGCGAAAGUGCGGAAUCACAUGGUACUAAUUUGAUACACUUUAAACCACAGGAUAUUAAAGUGAAAAAGUGCGAAACCACAGAAUACUAAUUUGAUAUAUUUUAAACCACAGGGUACUAAAGUGAGAAAAUGCGAAACCAUAGGGUAGUAACUUGAUACAUUUUAAACCACAGAGUACUAAAAUAAGAAAGUGCGAAACGACAAGAGUGGUAUUUGAAGUUUCCCCUUGAAAUUUAUCCUCGAUUUUAUUACACAUAAAAU